CGCCAUCCUUUGAGAUGCCGGCGUCGCUGCUUCUCUCCGGACGGAGCUCAGUGCCCGAGCCCCCCGUUGAUUCCUCUAAGUCUAAGAUCUGUUGGUUACCAGCCCAUGCAGAUGCAAUGGAUUCCAAAGGAGGAAGAGGAAGAACUGCAGGAGUAAAAAUGGAAUGCCUGGUGAAACUUUAAAGAUUCACACAUUUAUCAUUGCUUAAGCUUUCAUAGAGCACAGUGGACUUCAAGUGGUUGGCAGCAGUUCUGGAAAAAGGAGCGCUGCCUAUAUUGGUGGAGAAGUGGGAGAAUAUUGUGGCCUUCAUAUACAUGUAGCCCUUCACUUACGACCACAAUUGGGAACAGAAUUUCUGUUUCUAAGCAAGGUGGUUGUUGAGUCACACCCAAUUUUAUGUCCUCCUUGCCAUGAUUUUUUUUUAAAUUUGAUUUAUAUGCCGCCCUUCUCUGGAGACUCAGGGCAGCUUACAAUGCGUUAAGCAAUAGCCUUCAUACUUUUGUAUAUUUAUACAGUCAGCUUAUUGCCCCCACAAACUGGGUUCUCAAUUUACCUACCUUAGAAAGGAUGGAAGGCUGAGUCAACCUUGAGCCUGGUGAGAUUCGAACUUACAGUAAUCACAGACAGCUGGUGUUAAUCACAAUACUAUCAGUCUGUUGAGCCACCAGGCCCCAUUGAGUGAAUUACUGCAGUUGUUAAGUGAAUGAGUGGUCAUUAAGCAAAUCCAGCUUCCCUCCAAUUGACUUUGAUUGUCAGAAGCCAGCUGGUCACUUUAUCACACUGAUAUGAUCUUCAGAGGCAAAAAGCAAACAAUUCAGCGGCUUAAUAAAAUGUAUGAAGCUGACCAGUGAGAAUAACAUUCAGGGGAGCAUGUGGCAUUCCAGAUAUUAGAACCCCCCAAACUCCCUGCUAUUUGUUGCUCGUUUCUGCAAAAUUCCAGGAAAGUCGGCAGGUUAUGAUUUUCUCACUCCUGAUGCAUGCUUUUUGGAUUUCUUGUUUACAUGACAUAUAUUUUCCUUAGAGGUAAACUUAUGCCCUGGAAUGGAUAUACGAUUUCACCAAACUUAAUAAAAAAAUAUAAAGUUUCUCAAGGUUUUUUUGCAGUUAGCAUAACAAACUUGCUCAACAAAAUAUAUCUUGACCUUCCUUCCACAGCAGGAAACACCACACCAGUUUUUCGUGCUUCUAGUUUUAGCAAAUUUUGUUUCCUUUUGCAGAACCAAUAAAUAUCAGAAGGAAAUGCUAUUUUCCAAGCUGUAAUGCCUGCAAAGUAGAUAGUCCACAAUUUACAGCCACAAUUGAUCCCAACAUUGCUAAUUGUUGCUAAGUGAGACAGUAAGUUUUGCCUCAUUUUAUAUCUUUUCCCGCAGUUGUUAAUAACACAGUUGUUAAGUGAAUCUAGCUUUCCCAUUGACUUUGCUUAUCAGGUCACAAAAAGUGAUCACAUGACCCCAGGACACUUGAACCGUCAUAAAUAUGAGUCAAUUGCCAAGGGUCUGGAUUUUGGUCAUGUGACCAUAGGGAUGCUGCAACGGUUGUGUGAAAAAUGGCAACUGAACGGUUACCAAAUGAACUGUUGUAAGUGGAGGACUACAUGUAAAAACCCUGUGGCAAACUUUACGCUUGUAUGUGCCCUCACAAGGACAUGGUGACUCAGUGGCUAAGAUGCUGAGCUUGUUGAUUGAAAGGUUGGCAGUUCAGCGGUUGAAUCCCUAAGUGCCGCGUAACGGGGUGAGCUCCCGUUACCUGUCCCAGCUUCUGCCAACCUAGCAGUUCGAAAGCACGUAAAAAAUGCAAGUAGAAAAAUAGGGACCACCUUUGGUGGGAAGGUAACAGCGUUCCAUACGCCUUUGGCGUUUAGUCAUGCUGGCCACAUGACCACAGUGAUGUCUUCGGACAGCGCUGGCUCUUUGGCAAAUGGAGAUGAGCACCGCCCCCUAGAGUCAGGAACGACUAGAACAUAUGUGAGGGGAACCUUUACCUUUACCUAUGUGCCCUUACAGAAUCCUUUAAUGGUGUUCUUAUGAUCUAAAGUGAAACAAUGUUGAGGUUUUGGCUUGCUUCCUAAAAGUAUAUAGGCAGUUUUUGACUUAAAGUCGUUCAUUUAGUGACUGUUUGAAGUUAUAACAGCACUGAAAAAGUUAUUUAUGACUGUUUUUCACAACUGUUGCAGCAUCCGCAUGGCCACGUGAUCAAAAUUUGGCAGCUGGCAUGUCCUCUUAGGGUCAUGUAAUUUAUCUUUUGUGACCUUCUGAUAAGUAAAGUCAAUGGGGAAGCCAGAUUCACCUAACAUCUGUGGCAAGAAAUGUAAAAUGGGGCAAAAUUCACUUAACUGUCUUACUUGGCAAUGGAAAUUUUCAGCUCAAUUGUGGUCAUAGGUCGAGGACUACCUGUAUGAUAAAAAGUUUAUAUAUAUUUGUCUAUGGCUAUAAGUUCUAUUCUAAGCAAAAUGUACCAUUCAUGAAAUUUUCACACACAUAUAUUAGGGCUGCUUUGCUCAGUUGUGUUUUCUGUCACUUUUUGUGUUUAUUUAUUAAUGAUUGCUAACUUCAACAUGUAGUCCUAGGCCUUCUCUAGUGUUUUCCAGCUACCUGAAAUCACCAGGGCAGCAGUGGCUGUUUUAAUACAACUCCCAGCAGUCUGUCAAUCCUGCUAUGGUAAAUGUUGUGUGACUCUUAAAUUGAUGCACAUUAUCCACCUUCACACCAGUAUAUUAGAUUAUACUGCCACCUAUAGAUCCUUAAGUUGUAAUAUUCCAGAUGUGGUUCGGAUAACAAGUUCCAGAGUUUUCAACCAGAUAACAGUUGUAGGCUUAAAAUUUCUGAAAGGUACCAGUUGGAAAGGCUGAGUUGGAUUAUAGUUAUAAGCUAAACAAGAACUUCAAGGAUUGUUACACUUUUGCAGUAUGAUUUACUACAAGUAGUCCUCAACUUAUGACAGGCCUCUUAGUGACUGUUUGAAGUUAUAAUGAACCCAAAAAAAGAUACAACACAGAUUCACAGUAACAAUGGUUACCCUGCCCCCCACCGAACAUGAUUACAUUUUGGCUACUCAGAAACUAGUCCCCAUACAUGUCCAUUUGCAGCAUCCUGCUAUUAUGAGUGUAGUUUGUUUUUUGAUGAAAAUAGGCAUUUAUGUCUGGUUUCUAGCAAAAAAAAAAUGCCUAUUGUAGACAACAGGUUCACUUAAUGACUGUAGCAUUUGCUUAAUGAUUGCAGAUUUGCUUAACGACCAUGAUGAUUCACUUAACAACCACUGCAAAAAAAGUCAUAGUUAGUGAUUACUCACUUGACCGGCACAAUGUACAACCAUCAUUCUGGGCUCAAUUACAGUUUUACAUUAGAAUUACCUGCGUAUAAUUGAGUAUAAUUAGAUUAUAUGCGAGACAAAAUAAUUUUAUUCUAAUAACCAUCCAGUGAAAUUUAGAAAGAGAAGCUUAAACAGGACAUUUGAUCUUGGAUGUCUCAGGAUCAGCUUUUGCUCCAGUGCAGCAAGCUGACUUCUUAGCUGGGUUUGUGUUAAACAAUAAAGUGCAAAAACCACCCACUGUGCUUUGUAAACUAUGGUUAACCAAAAAAUAAUUUACCAUUAGAUAUGAAUGCAGUCAGUUGGUCAAGCGUUUUCUAGGCAGCUGCACAACAGGAGCAACUAUCUUUAUAAAAGGGGGUUCAACACAGAAUGGAAAUCAGAUUGGCAACCUCCAAUGAAAGACAUUAAUAGGGUGACAUAUUUGAUAGUGUGCCUAUCAAGCAAAGAUCUAACUGGUUUUGAAAAACUAAGGAUACUUGAUUUAUACACUUCUGUUUAUUGUGACUGUGAGGCCCAAGAGAACAGUACGGCUGCAUCUGGUCGUUGUCAUCAAUUUAGCACCGCCCAGGGAGUACAUAUAAUAAUAAUGUAGCUACAGCAUUGAUAUUUAUCAAAAGUCGUCAUAAAAACCAGAGUCUAAGAAAUGAUAGGAUGUGCCUCAGGAAGUGUUGCCUUCUAAAGCACAUCUUAUCUCAUCCCAAAACAUUAACACAAAUAUUGUUUUGCUUCAGAACCACUAGCUUAGCUACGUACAAAUGCAAUGAGGUAAGCAGUCACACUUAACUCACCGUGAAAAUCUAUAAAGGAGUUGUGUUGUUGAAGUACAUCUGUUUCAGGCUCAUAACAAGAGACUUUGGUGAGGAUUUUUUUUUGUUUGUUUUUUUGUUACAAGACACGUAGCAAAUAUAGAGCUUAGGAUUCAAAGACCACAAUGACCUUUGACAUAAGGCUACCACAAGGCUCUUGUGAAGCGAAUUAAUAGGGGAAGUGCUGGCACAUAGCACCCAGGCUCCUUCCUGUUACUGGUGUUGGGCAUUCUGGGUUUUAUUUAUGCCAACAUCAGCACCUCCAGGAUAAAAUAGCCUUACAUCAUGGUAAGUCAUUGGAGUUCUUUUAGUUUUGUUUGAGGUAUAGGGAUAUAUCACAUAUUUUGUCUAGUGUUGUUGCAUGUCAUUGUUAAGGAUAAUUUUCCUACGAGAGCUGUACCUUUUCUCUUUUCCUGCAAGCUUGAUUUGGGCCAAGUAUUGUAUGUCUCAGUAUGGAUUGCAUAAAAGGGUGUGAAAUUAAUACACUAGAACAUUCUCUGCUGCAUAGUAAACUUAUAGUGUCCUUUAUAUAAACAACUAUUUAAUAAUUAAUGCUCAUAAUAGAGUAUUCUAAUUUUAUUACUUAUGAUGGAUUUUGGUCUAUCAGUGUAUUUUAGACAGUGAAUUGUUUUGAGCUGAAAAGUCACUUGUGGAAAAUGUAGCAUUAGUAGUUCAAUGGAUUACAACGCAUCUAGAUUCAAGAUCGAUAUUAAAGCAGCCAUUUCCUAUAUGUAAAUUUUUAUUUCACAGAUUAUUGAAUGUGAAAAGAGCAAAACUGAGGAAGCAAUCCAAUGAACACUUACUAGGAAGGAAGUCCACUAAACUGAGUAAGACUUGCUUCUGGAUAAAGAUGCAUAAGGAAAUCCUCAGGCCUCAAACCUUGUCAAUGCCCAUGUAAUGCAAAUACUUUUGGUUCUGCUAUAUAUAAAAAAGAAUGUCUUCUGUAUCAUGUACAUACUUUUGGACAAUAAUGCAAAUUAGCUAACUGAUCCUACUUCUGCCUCAAUUAAAAAGGAUUUGGGAACUGGCAAGUUGUAUUUGAAAAAGAAACAAAAAACUAUUGUAAGCUGACUUUUUCCCUAUAAAAGUCUGAAAAGUAAUAGUCUACAUUAAAUGACAUUUUUGUUUCCA